rnacentral:rRNA from 1 species
UAACCUGCCUUGUAGCGGGGGAGUAACUAUUGGAAACGAUAGCUAAUACCGCAUAACAAUGGAUGACACAUGUCAUUUAUUUGAAAGGGGCAAAUGCUCCACUACAAGAUGGACCUGCGUUGUAUUAGCUAGUAGGUGAGGUAACGGCUCACCUAGGCGACGAUACAUAGCCGACCUGAGAGGGUGAUCGGCCACACUGGGACUGAGACACGGCCCAG